AACGAACGCUGGCGGCAUGCCUAACACAUGCAAGUCGAACGAGACCUUCGGGUCUAGUGGCGCACGGGUGCGUAACGCGUGGGAACCUGCCCUUAGGUUCGGAAUAACUCCCCGAAAGGGGUGCUAAUACCGGAUAAUGUCUUCGGACCAAAGAUUUAUCGCCUUUGGAUGGGCCCGCGUUGGAUUAGCUAGUUGGUAGGGUAAAAGCCUACCAAGGCGACGAUCCAUAGCUGGUCUGAGAGGAUGAUCAGCCACACUGGGACUGAGACACGGCCCAGACUCCUACGGGAGGCAGCACUGGGGAAUAUUGGACAAUGGGCGAAAGCCUGAUCCAGCAAUGCCGCGUGAGUGAUGAAGGCCUUAGGGUUGUAAAGCUCUUUUACCCGGGAUGAUAAUGACAGUACCGGGAGAAUAAGCUCCGGCUAACUCCGUG
rnacentral:rRNA from 1 species